GAUGAACGCUGGCGGCGUGCUUAACACAUGCAAGUCGAACGAUGAAGCCCAGCUUGCUGGGUGGAUUAGUGGCGAACGGGUGAGUAACACGUGAGCAACCUGCCCCCGACUCUGGGAUAAGCGCUGGAAACGGCGUCUAAUACUGGAUAUGUCCCGUCACCGCAUGGUGUGCGGGUGGAAAGAUUUUUCGGUUGGGGAUGGGCUCGCGGCCUAUCAGCUUGUUGGUGAGGUAAUGGCUCACCAAGGCGUCGACGGGUAGCCGGCCUGAGAGGGUGACCGGCCACACUGGGACUGAGACACGGCCCAGACUCCUACGGGAGGCAGCAGUGGGGAAUAUUGCACAAUGGGCGGAAGCCUGAUGCAGCAACGCCGCGUGAGGGAUGACGGCCUUCGGGUUGUAAACCUCUUUUAGCAGGGAAGAAGCGAAAGUGACGGUACCUGCAGAAAAAGCACCGGCUAACUACGUG
rnacentral:rRNA from 1 species